UACCCCUACCCUGACGGGGCAGAGGCUGUUUCUGAUAGACCCUCGGCUCAGAAAGACGUAAAGAAAACAAGAAGAGACAAGAUAUCAGUAUCAUCAACGGAAACCCCCUCAACCCAAAAGAAUGAAAAUAAAAAUUUGGUAAACCUCAUUCCCAAUUGUUUAUCUGAUUUUGAGCAAGUUAUAACUUUAUAAUUUGGUACUUCGGCACAUAAUGUUAACCAAAAUAUUGCAGCUGUUUUGUAUAAUGAGCUUGAGAGUUUCAAAAUAUUAUCUGCCUUCUUUAUCUCAUUGUGAUCGGUUAAUGUAUUUCAUAAUUUCUCAAUUUUCAAAAUGGUUGGAGAGUACUUUAAAGAAAACUGUACCCACCCUGAAGCUUGUCAUGUUGUCAACCCCGGCAAUCCAUCAAGUACAUUUAUCCCCGAGUCCCUUCUUUAUGGUCUCCAUCUCAUCUUUAUAAAUAUUAAUGGAUGGAAUGAAGUCGUCGAUUGUGAAAAUUCAAUCGAUAUUCUUUUUGAUAUUCCUUUAUUGAAACUUUUGUCAUAUAGAGGAUAUCUGAUAUUUGUAAAGAAGUGGGAAGCUGGCUCUUCAUUGAUAAUACUUAUGAGUGACUUUCUUUCAUUGUAUACGAAUCUUUUAGUUUCCCAAUGUUAUCAGAACCUGACUGCCGUCAUUUUCUUUCCUCGUCCAUGGAUAAAUGAUGAUGAUCUUACAACUAAAGAUGAUGAGGGAUCUGAAUCUUGACUUCCAGAUUCCAGUACAUGGAGUCCUCAAUGCUAUUAGUUGGGAAAUUCUAUUUCCAAUUUGUAUUGUCAUUGCAAGGUACGUGGAAACUUUCCAGUCUUCAAAUCCGGCAUGGUUUUAUCUUCAUGUUACUUGCCAGUUUUCUGCCUAUGCCAUUGCGGUUGCUGGCUGGGCAACUAGGUCUCAAGCUUGGAAGUGAGUCAAAGGGUGUUCAGUAUAGUGGCCAUCAUAAUAUUGGGAUUGCACUUUUCUCCGUUGCAACAUUGCAGCUGUGUACUUGCAAGGGGCAUCCCUAUAUUGCAUGUAGGGGGUUCAAUUGAAUCCCCUCGUAGGAAGUGCUAAUAGAGUAAAACAAUUACACAUAAAAUAUUCCAUUGUUGAAUCCCCUUGACAUAAAGAACUUCUAGUGUAGCGGUAAAGGUGACUUAGAAAUUACUUUAAGUCACAAGUUCAAGCCUCAAAUAUGACACUUAUGUUCCUUUCUUAAAUCCCCUUCUCAGAAUUCCUGGUUCUGCAAUUCUCUGCCACUGUGUACUUGGGGAUAUUAAUUCCUGGUUCUGCAAUUCUCUGCCACUGUGUACUUGGGGAUAUUAAUGGUAGAAAUUAAUUUUUCUCUUGGUGUUCUGCUCUUCAUUUUGGUUUUAGGUUUUUGCCAUGCCAUUGAGGCCCAAGUAGGACCAUAAGUAUCAAUUUUUACUGGAAUAUAUGCGGGAGAAGUGCACCAGUAGCCACUUUUAAGCCCGUUGUUUAAAAUAUAUCCACAAUUUACAAUGUAUUUAAAGAUUGGCAAAUUCACCCAAAUUUUAGGACUAAGUAUCCUGAAUUUGUAAUUUAGAACUUAGGGGUUGUUACAAUGGUGGGAUAUCCCAGGAUAUACGGAUCGGGUGGGAUAUCCCAUGGGAUUAGUUAUCCCACCUUCUAUAUGGGAUAACUAAUCGUACCAUUUUACUGUAAAAGUUAACUAAGGAUUCGCUAAUACCCUGAACCAAACAUGGGAUAAAGUUAAUCCCAACUUUUAACCCGGGAUUAUUAUUCUUAUCCCAUGUACCAAACGAUCCAUUAGUGUCCUGAAUUUUGAGUUGCUAAUUUAAAAUUCAGCACAUAAGAUUCAAACUUCUGGAUAAUUUUCGAAGUUUAGGACACGAUGUCUUGAAGUUUGAGCGAAUUGGUUAAUCUUUAAAUACAUUGUAAAGUGUGUAUUUAUUAUAAACAACAUGCUUAAAAGUGGAUACAUGGUGUCAUUUCGCAAUGACCUGGCAUUGAUUUUAUGGAGACAUAUUCUCCGGUGGUGGAUGAAAUCACAUUCAGGUAUCUUAUCAGUCUAGCAAUUCAUGAAAAACUUGAUAUGCGUCUUAUGGAUGUUAUCACAGCCUAUUUAUAUGGCUCACUGUACAACGAAAUUUUUAUGAAAAUCCCUGAAGGAUUCAAAGUACCUGAAACAUACAAAGAUUCCUGGGAAACUUGUUCGAUAAAGCUUAAAAAAUCCUUAUAUGAAUUGAAGCAAUCAGGGCGUAUGUGGUAUAAUCACCUCAGCGAAUACCUAUUGAAAGAAGGGUACAAGAGUGACUCAAUUUGUCCUUAUGUAUUUAUAAAAAGAUCUGGAUCUGAACUUGUCAUAAUAGCUGUGUAUGAUGAUGACUUGAAUAUCA